UCGUGGAGUCUGAAGUCAAGUGCUGUAAGA
rnacentral:piRNA from 1 species